rfam:Staphylococcus saprophyticus strain CNV2 Spades_3, whole genome shotgun sequence.
CUCUUAUCGAGAGAGGUGGAGGGAUGUGCCCUAUGAAGCCCGGCAACCGUCUAAUUAAUAGAAAUGGUGCCAAUUCACAUAAAGUUAAACUAACUUUAAAAGAUGAGAG